AACUAACACAAUAUGACAUCAGAAGGCAACGCAAUAAAAACAUCUGUGUCACGCAUGAAUACACUAUGCAUGCUUCAGAGUCAUUUUAUGUAUAGGUAAACAUACUUAUCCGGUUCCACGUUUCAAUUGUUAUUUUAGUUCUCCUUGGGCCAUUUUAUAAACUUUGUUUAAGAAUUGCUUGGCCAAGUGGCGAAUUUCUUUUCCAUUUUUUCUAGCAAACGAAUGAAAAUUUCUUAUUUCUGAAAUAAUAAAUAAAUACUUCACGGAUCAAUUUCUCAAUUUACUGAUUAAUUCAUAUUUUUCAAAAAUUAAAUUCAAUCAUGCCUGAAAAAGCUUCAAAAUUCAUUACUCAGCCAAGCAAUCUCUACGUUCAUAAAUUUUGGCCCUUAUCUUCGUAAUAACCAAACCGAGUAUAUUCUGGGAAACUUCUAUUCAUAUUUCAUCAGCUAUUGCAUUUGACGACUGACGUGUUCGUGCUUAGUUCUUGGUUUUCUCCUUCGGCCUAUGCGUAUUGUCUAUUCAAGAUAACUUAAACGUCGUUAAUUAGUAGUGUUCGCGUGAAGUAAUUUUCAAACCGUCGUGUUUUUAUAUCAUCAAUUGUUUCAUAUUAUAAACGUUGUUUUUCCGAAAGCAGUUGAGUUAAAUCUUGAGAUUUUUCAUCAGGCAGUGAAAUUUUGCUCGAUAUGGCGAAGAAAUCGUCUGAAGAUAACUUCGAGGAUAUGAAAAUAAUCCAGUUUACAUCCAAAUGCGAUGACUCUGUCACCAACAAACGAAGACUGGAUAGGAUGGAAGCAGAAAUCCGACAACUGAAUUAUGUGUCCACACAGCAAGAUGAUCGCCUCAAAAAACUGGCAGCCAAAGUUGAUGAAUCCUUUGGCAUUGACACGCUGGCGAAUCGACUUCGAGUAGCUGGUAUCUACUUCGAUGAUAGUAUGUUACACUUUCCACAUGAUUUUGUGCAACAGUUCGAAAGCUACUUCGCAGGCAUGUGUGUCCUAGAAUACCAUAAAUGCUUAGCUUUCCUAGGCGUUAUCCUGACUAAGCAUAAUGAGGAGUGGAAGAGAUCAGUACGCUGGAUAACCGAAUACGAAGACUUGAAGAAGUGUUUCUUCCGGAAAUAUUGGGAUAAAGCAGCUCAAUCUAGGGCUGUAGAGAGAUGUCGCCAGGAUUUUAGAAGAGCGCAUAGGGGCACAGAAAUAGUCAACACCAUGCUGAGGUGGGCCAACUCUCUGUACCAUUGUAACGGUGUCGAAGGUGGCAUUGAUAUUCCGUACAUUCUUGGUGACUUUGCAUACCGUUAUUGGGCACCAUUGAGAGAACCCGGCCAGUCAGUCGUGGAAUUGAGAAAAAAAUUAAUGGAAAUGGAGGAGUUCGUGCCAGAUGAUCCUUCCAACAAUAGCAGUUGCGGACUGCAGUAAUAAUAUUCGAGGUAACUCACCUUAACAUCAGUUACAAAAUCAAAGGCGUCUUCAACCUUUCACAUAUUCACAACAAAGGCUGGUAUGCCCUAACACACCUGAGGAUGUGUGCAUACCCGAUUGUCAAGAUCAUUCAAGGAAUAACCUGAGGUCUAGUUGAAGAAAUCAGAAAAUUUUGCUCCUUAUUGUUAUUAAUUUCGGCGGAUUUUGAUUUUUGAUGUAAAUUAAAAUUAAAAAAAAAAAGUACAUAUAAAUGGUGAGCGAGAGUCAGCGCAGUUUUUGGAAAAUAUGUGGCAACUUGGGAACGUUGAUGUUGAUUUUUGAUAAACGACUCAUUCAUGUUAUCCUGCGUCGUCGUGCGUGAAGAAAUCUUCGAAGAGUUUUUAUAUUGUCAACAUAUUGUCAAUUUAUUGUUUCAACUUUCAUAAUUAUUAUAAACAUUGUUUCUCCGACAACUCUUGGGCUGAAUCUGUAGAUUUUCCAUCUCGCAGUGAAACUUUGCGCGAUAUGGCGAAAAAAGGGUCCAAGGAAAACUUGGAAGACAAAUUGACGGCUGAUGUUCCUCGAGUUCGAGAGGUAGUGGAUUCAAAAAAGUUCGAAAAUCGACUUACCAAUUUGGAACAAAAACUAGAAGCAGUAAAGAUCAGUUUAGCUGAACUGGCAACUGGAGUACAAGGUCUACUUUCCAAAGAAGAGACACGCAUUGGCAUUCAACCACAGACGAUUCGAGACUAUGGUAUCUAUUUUGAUGACAACAGGUUGUACUUUCCACAUGAUUUUGUACAACAGUUUGAUAAGUUCUUUGCUAGCAUGACGACGUGUAUCCCCGAAUACCAUAAAUGCUUAAUUUUUCAAGGCGUUAUUCUGACUACGGAUAAUGAGGACUGGAAAAAUUCAGUACGCGGGGUGAAGGAAUACGAAGUCCUGAAAAAGUGUUUCUUUCAGCACUACUGGAGUUGGCGAGCUCAAGACGAGGCUAUAUCCAGAUGUAAGCAGGAUUUUACAAGAGCAAAUAGCAUGGCACAUGGUAAUAUUAUCGACUAUGAAAUAUUAAACUCCAUGAUACGUUGGGCCAACUCUCUAUGCAGUUUUGAGAACGGACUCGGACGCGACACGGAGUACUUGAUUGGUUACUCGCCAUACAAACUUUACUGGAAAAAAUUGAGAAAACCCGGCCAAUCAGUUGACGAAUUAAGAAAUGAAUUGUCGAAAGAAUGGAAUACAAUUAAUCCCCAUAUUGUACCAUUCCAGAUUGUGCCAAAAGCGCACACUACUCACCAUCCAUACGUCAAUGUACCAAACGAGUCCUUAUAGAUGUGCAAUAUGACUACUUAUCAGUGAUUCAAUCGCUCCAACAACAACAGUUGCAGUAACUAAUGUUCAAGAGGUAACUCACCUUAAUAUCAGUUAAAUUAUCAAAGGCGUCUUCCACCUUUCACAUUUCCACUACAUAGGCUGGUAUGCUCUCAUCCACCUAUAUGGUGAUUUACAAGCUUUAUCGAUAUUUUGAUUUUUUUCUGAAUUUUUUGUUUGUAAUUUCGACAAAUUGACAUUUUUGCCACAAAAAAGCAAGACUUUAAGGAAAUUUAAAAUACAUACAAAAAAAUUAGGUUUCAGUAGGUUUCAGCAGCUCUCGUAAAAAAUCACUUUUUAGCAAUUUUUCAUGAAAAAACAUAUGUUUUUUGUUAGUUUUUGACGAAAAAUAGCUUGGUUUUUUUUUUUGGUCGGUGUUGCUAAAGUAAAAUUAGGCUAUUUGCAUUAUUCAAUUAAACGUGGUUUUUGUUUACAAUAUUUCGACAAAUAGAAAUUUUUUGCCAAAAGACUUUUUAGAAAUUGGCAUUUUUGUCUAAAAAUGAUUUUGACAAAAAAACAGGUUUCUAGCAAUUUUAAUUUAUUUUGGCAAUUUUCGACGAAAAUGGGUUCUUUCUACAGUUUUUAGGUACAGGAAAGAAAGAUUUUUCGCACUUUUGGUGAAGUUGACAUUAUUUUUGACAAAAAGCUGUCUGAGAAUUUUCGAGUUCAGCUGAAAAAACUAAAAAAAAAGUAAAAUUUUUUGGUAAUGUUUACGAAGUAAUUCUAAUUCAUAUUCAUUUUUGUCCCAUUAUAUAAUAAUCAUAAGAUUUGAUUACGUUUUAAGUUAAUUUCUUAGUUUUUCGAAGCUUUCUUUUUUAUUUUUUUUAUUUUUAGCUUUUAGAUUUUCAACUUUUGUUGUAUUUUUAAAAAUUAGGCAGGUAUUUGAGUUUGAUCCCAAGAUUUUUUUUUUUUUUCAUUUUUGAAAUAUCUCGUUUGUUCUUUAUAAUUUAUAAACUAUAGUACUCGUAUUCUUGUUUCGUUUUGUUUUUUAUUUUUAUUAUCAAGCUCUGUUUACAUUGGCCAUCUAGGAUUUUCCAAAUGUAAUUAAUCGAUAUUUUUAUUUUUUUUUUACUAAUAUAAGUACUAAAGUACCUCUACCUAGCCUUAUGUUUAAUACGAUUCCUUGUUUUAUGAUUAUGGGCCACGCAUGGGGAGUUGGGGACGUCUUUGGUGAAAAAAAUUCGGUAAUUUAUGAUUGAUACUGUGCUUAGAGAUUCUACCCAUGUGAUGAUUUGAUGCCGUUGGUAGUUGAAUGUUUUGAUUUCCUGAGAUAUAUUAAGUAUAAUUAUGUACUUGUAUGUACUUAUGUAUUUGUAUACCUUAACUUUCAAAUUUGGAGUCUCUAAGAGGUAAAUAAGAUAGUACAAAAGAUAACAACAUAAUACCUAGGUAAUGUUUUAUUGCUACAGAUAGUUUUGAAUUCUUGAUUUAAUUUCUUUUGUUCGUCAAAAUCAAUGUACUCUUUAAUUCUCGUGUAGAAACUUGAAAAGUCCAUUGAUUUACAUGGUACCUUUUGUUUAUUUUAUAUGUAGUAGGUAUUAUUCUACUAUCCUGGUAUAUAUGAUCGCAAUCGCAACGAGCAGGUGUAAAAAAAUCAGAGUCGAAGUUAAAUGUAGGUACCCAUAAUAUUCUAAAUUCUCCUAUGGCCAAUGUGUAUCAAGAUGAGUUAAAUGUCGUUAAUUACUAAGUAUAUUUUUCACGUUAUCAUUAUAAGUGUAGGUAUCCUAAAUCAUUAUGUUUUUGUACCCGUGAUUAAUUAAUACAAGUUUCAUAUUAAGUAUAAA